GGUCUGGUGGCGAGUGGCGAACGGGUGAUUAAUACAUCGGAACGUGUCCUGGAGUGGGGGAUAGCCCGGCGAAAGCCGGAUUAAUACCGCAUACGCUCUGCGGAGGAAAGCGGGGGAUCUUUCGGGACCUCGCGCUCAAGGGGCGGCCGAUGGCAAAUUAGCUAGUUGGUUGGGUAAAGGCCUUCCAAGGCGACAAUCUGUAGCUGGUCUGAGAGACGACCAGCCACAAUGGGGACUGAGACACGGCCCGAUUCCUACCGGGGGCCAGAGUGGGAAUUUUGGACAAUGGGCGCAAGCCUGAUCCAGCAAUGCGCCGCGUGUGUGAAGGGCCUUCGGGUUGUAAAGCACUUUUGUCCGGAAAGAAAUCCUUUGGGCGAAUACCCUGGGGGGAUGACGGUACCGGAAGAAUAAGCACCGGCUAAUUACGUGCCAGCAGCCGCGGUAAUACGUAGGGUGCAAGCGUUAAUCGGAAUUACUGGGCGUAAAGCGUGCGCAGGCGGUUCGCUAAGACAGAUGUGAAAUCCCCGGGCUUAACCUGGGAACUGCAUUUGUGACUGGCGGGCUAGAGUAUGGCAGAGGGGGGUAGAAUUCCACGUGUAGCAGUGAAAUGCGUAGAGAUGUGGAGGAAUACCGAUGGCGAAGGCAGCCCCCUGGGCCAAUACUGACGCUCAUGCACGAAAGCGUGGGGAGCAAACAGGAUUAGAUACCCUGGUAGUCCACGCCCUAAACGAUGUCAACUAGUUGUCGGGUCUUCAUUGACUUGGUAACGUAGCUAACGCGUGAAGUUGACCGCCUGGGGAGUACGGUCGCAAGAUUAAAACUCAAAGGAAUUGACGGGGACCCGCACAAGCGGUGGAUGAUGUGGAUUAAUUCGAUGCAACGCGAAAAACCUUACCUACCCUUGACAUGUAUGGAACCUGGCUGAGAGGCCGGGGUGCCCGAAAGGGAGCCAUAACACAGGUGCUGCAUGGCUGUCGUCAGCUCGUGUCGUGAGAUGUUGGGUUAAGUCCCGCAACGAGCGCAACCCUUGUCCCUAGUUGCUACGCAAGAGCACUCCAGGGAGACUGCCGGUGACAAACCGGAGGAAGGUGGGGAUGACGUCAAGUCCUCAUGGCCCUUAUGGGUAGGGCUUCACACGUCAUACAAUGGUCGGAACAGAGGGUUGCCAAGCCGCGAGGCGGAGCCAAUCCCAGAAAACCGAUCGUAGUCCGGAUCGCACUCUGCAACUCGGGUGCGUGAAGCUGGAAUCGCUAGUAAUCGCGGAUCAGCAUGCCGCGGUGAAAUACGUUCCCGGGUCUUGUACACACCGCCCGUCACACCAUAAUA
rnacentral:rRNA from 1 species